ACGGGAGGCAGCAGUGGGGAAUAUUGGACAAUGGGGGAAACCCUGAUCCAGCGACGCCGCGUGAGUGAAGAAGUAUUUCGGUAUGUAAAGCUCUAUCAGCAAGGAAGAAAAUGACGGUACUUGACUAAGAAGCCCCGGCUAACUACGUGCCAGCAGCCGCGGUAAUACGUAGGGGGCAAGCGUUGUCCGGAAUGAUUGGGCGUAAAGGGCGCGUAGGCGGCCUGUUAAGUCUGGAGUGAAAGUCCUGCUUUUAAGGUGGGAAUUGCUUUGGAUACUGAUGGGCUUGAGUGCAGGAGAGGUAAGUGGAAUUCCCAGUGUAGCGGUGAAAUGCGUAGAGAUUGGGAGGAACACCAGUGGCGAAGGCGACUUACUGGACUGUAACUGACGCUGAGGCGCGAAAGUGUGGGGAGCAAACAGGAUUAGAUACCCUGGUA
rnacentral:rRNA from 1 species